rnacentral:rRNA from 1 species
UUAAGAUACUAAGAGCAUACGGUGGAUGCCUUGGCGAUAUCUGCCGACGAAGGACGUGACAAGCUGCGAAAAGCUGCGGAGAGAUGCAAAUAAUCGGCGACCCGCAGACAUCCGAAUGGAGAAAUCCGGCUGUGAUGAUGCACAGCCAUCCAUGCCCAAGAGCAUGAGAAGGGAACCGGGCGAACUGAAACAUCUAAGUAACCCGAGGAAAAGAAAUCAAACGAGAUACCCCAAGUAGCGGCGAGCGAACAGGGAAGAAGCCCAAACCGGUGAAGGAAACUUUACCGGGGUUGAGGACCAUCAGAACCGCGAAGAACCUUAGCCGAAACUGUUGGGAAACAGUGCCAAAGACAGUGAAAGCCUGGUAGGCGAAAAAGAGAAACGCGGAGAUGGCACCAGAGUACCGCGGGACACGAGAAAUCCCGUGGGAAGCAGGGGGGACCACCCUCCAAGGCAAAACACAGAUAUCGACCGAUAGCGCAUAGUACCAUGAGGGAAAGGUGAAAAGCACCCCGGGAGGGGAAUGAAAGAGAACCUGAAACCGUAUGUUUACAAGCAGUCGGAGACCGCUUAAUAAUAAGGUCGACGGCGUGCCUAUUGAAGAAUGAACCGGCGAGUUACGAAGCCUGGCAAGGUUAAGCAGGAAAUGCGGAGCCGAAGCGAAAGCGAGUCUUAAGAGGGCGCAAGUCAGGAAGCGUAGACCCGAAACCACAGUGAUCUACCCAUGUCCAGGUUGAAACACAGGUAAAAAUGUGUGGAGGACCGAACCUAUAUCCGUUGAAAAGGGUUAGGAUGAGGUGUGGGUAGGGGUGAAAUUCCAAUCGAACGUGGAGAUAGCUGGUUCUCCCCGAAAUAGCUUUAGGGCUAGCCUCAGGGAAAAGAUUGCAGGCGGUAGAGCACUGAUCAGGAGAGGGACCUACCCGGUUACCAAACCCAGUCAAACUCCGAAUGGCUGCAAUCAUACCUGGGAGUCAGACUGCGACUAAUAAGGGCCGCAGUCAAAAGGGAAACAGCCCAGACCAUCAGCUAAGGUCCCCAAUGCCGUGCUAAGUGGCGAAGGAUGUGGCAUUUCAUAAACAACCAGGAUGUUGGCUCAGAAGCAGCCACCAUUUAAAGAGUGCGUAAUAGCUCACUGGUCGAGAGACGCUGCGCCGAAAAUGUCCGGGGCUCAAGCACGGAACCGAAGCUAUGGCAUGAUAGCAAUAUCAUGGGUAGGGGAGCGUUCUUAUAAGGAAGAAGCAUGACCGGAAGGACAUGUGGACAAAUAAGAAGUGAGAAUGCCGGUAUGAGUAUCGAAAAGAAAGGUGAGAAUCCUUUCCACCGAAAGCCCGAGGGUUCCUGAGCAACGAUCGUCGACUCAGGGUAAGUCGGGACCUAAGCCGAGGCGGAAAGCGUAGGCGAUGGACAACAGGUUGAAAUUCCUGUACCGGAUCAAGUCGAUUGAGCGAAGGAGCGACGCAGGAGGGCACAUGAUCGCGCGGCUGGAAGAGCGCGUCCAAGUGCGUAUGUUGCAGCAGAGGAAAACCCCUGCAGCUAAAAGCAGAGACAUGAAGGGGAGUUAAAGGAAACUUUGACGAACUCAUGAAUCCCACACUGCCAAGAAAAACUUCUAGCGAGACAAGAUCCGCCCGUACCGUAAACCGACACAGGUAGGCGGGGAGAGAAUCCUAAGGUGCGCGGGAAAACCCUCGUUAAGGAACUCGGCAAAUUGCAUCCGUAACCUAGGGAGAAGGAUGGCCCCCGGUCAGUGAAGAGCAGAAACGCUCAGAGCUAAAAGGGGCGGCAGAAAAGAGGCCCAAGCAACUGUUUACCAAAAACACAGGUGCCUGCGAAAGCGAAAGCUGAAGUAUAGGUGCUGACGCCUGCCCGGUGCCGGAAGGUUAAGGAGAGAAGUUAGCGAAAGCGAAGCAUCGAACUGAAGCCCCGGUGAACGGCGGCCGUAACUAUAACGGUCCUAAGGUAGCGAAAUUCCUUGUCGGGUAA